GCCUAGACAGCUCAGUUGGUGAGAGCAUGGUGCUGAUAACACCAAGGUUUCAGGUUCGAUCCCCGUCUGGGACA
rnacentral:tRNA from 1 species